AACCAGAAAUGUCACCCUAGCAGUUUUGAGGCGUCAUCAACCACCUGGGUUUGCUGCUCUGAAGCAAGGCACUCUGCAGCCACCAAGACCACCUCAGUUUCCCCUCCAUCCAGGCUAGCUCCAGAUCUUCAUCAGCUGGGCUGAAAACUACAGCAAUUCAGGAGCACUUGGCAUAUGCCAAGUGCGAGAGGAGCACUCCUUCAAGGGGGGAAAGAGGUUACACGAAAUGCAUUCCCUUCCCUCCAACAGGCAGCAGACAGAGACCUCAGCCCUCAUGACCAGCCUCACCCAGGCUGCCCAGAGCUGGGAGCUGUCUGGCAGAACAACUUGGAUUCCAUGAGGUGCCACAUGCCACCCUUUUCCACCAAUCCUGGCAGUGGGACCUAAGUCCUGAAGCACAGUGUGCGGACCUGGAGAAGGGGAAAUGCUGCUGAAAAAACAGCUUUCCUGCACUCUAAGUUUCCCCUGCUCCUCUGGGGGAGCAGAUACAGUUCCCCCCAAAGCAGCAUUGUUCUGUUUAAAAUCCAGCUUUGGAUGCGGUGAACUGUAGUUGAAUUUGGCCUUAGUGCAUGGACAUGUUUGAAUAAAAUGUGCCAACUCUUGUUGAGACUCACUGCUUGAGCAAUGCACAGGAUUCAUGCUUCUUUUCUGAUUUGCUUGGAAUUCUGCUCAGAAGAUUUUCCCAAACAGAAGAAGAUUCAAGGAUCGUAUUCAUUUUGGGAAACUUUGGAGGACACAAAGCUGUCCAACAGGAAAAUGGAUGAACUUUCUAGAUUUCCUGGAGCCCAGAGAAACCAUCAAGAGAAACCAUCAAGAGAAACCAUCAACUCCGACUUCUGCAUCACAAUUCUGACUAAGCUGAAGGUUUGAACUUCCAGUCAGGCCAGAGAAGAAGAAACCUUUCUCUUACAACACGAUAACACCAAGCCCAGUACCAGUUUGAAGACUGUGGAGCACACUGCCAGUCUGGGCUAGGCUGCCGUACCACACCCACUAUAUAUUUUGGACUUAGUAUCUUCUAAUUUCCAUUUGUAUGGGCUGAUGAGAGAUGGACAGCAUGGACAAUAUUUUCCUAUCUACAACACUUCAAAGCAGCUGUGAAGCAGUGGGUCACCUCCGCGAAUGCAGAUUUUAUGAGCGUGGCAUGCAGGCUCUUGAUCAUCGCUGGUGAAAAUA